GUCUGAAUUAUGGAACCCUAAUAUCAGUUCGCGUCUCGGUUGUUCUUAACUAACAGCUUCAACCUAUCAUGGCGGGAGGAAGUAACUUUCUCCAAAGAGUUCUCUCAUAUGUCAUUAAUGAAUUCGUUGUAAAUGGGCUUGCAAACAGCCCAAGAUUCCAGAGAUUUGCUGUGAGGACAUCCAAAACAAUUGAGGAGGUCUCGAAAUUAGCUGAAGAAAAGAAGAAAGAGAUUGCAGAGCAAAUAAAGGAUGCAUCCAAAAAAUUUUGAGAAUAUAUUAUUGGGAAUGGCCAUCCCAUUUCAAGUAUGGAGUCGCAAAAAAGGAGCAGAUCAGGAUUGCUACUGCAGUUUUCCAAAUACUAAAGCAUGCUGUGUAAAUGAGGCAUAACAUUUCUUACUAGUUUUAAUCUGAGACUGUAAUUUCUUUUAUAUGAUUUCUAUAUCUUCUUUUUCUUUUUAGUUUUUUUUUUUUUAAAAAAGAUGUCCAAAGACUAUUUGUAGUGAGAAUAUGAAAGCAAUAGCAUAGCCAUAAGGUCAGCAAGGUGCCAAAAUAAUUGGUUAAUUAUUUUGUAAUAAUUGUAUCAUUUGAGCAUUAAAAUUUUUAAGUCAUAA